rnacentral:lncRNA from 1 species
GCUGGACCGCCUGUACAGGAAGGGCGUGGUGACGGAGGCCGAGGUCAAGGUCUACAUCCAGCAGCUGGUGGAGGGGCUGCACUACCUGCACAGCCAUGGCGUUCUCCACCUGGACAUAAAGCCCUCUAACAUCCUGAUGGUGCAUCCUGCCCGGGAAGACAUUAAAAUCUGCGACUUUGGCUUUGCCCAGAACAUCACCCCAGCAGAGCUGCAGUUCAGCCAGUACGGCUCCCCUGAGUUCGUCUCCCCCGAGAUCAUCCAGCAGAACCCUGUGAGCGAAGCCUCCGACAUUUGGUGAGUGGGUGGCUGGGCCAACGGGUCUGGGUCUGCAACUUCUCCGGGAAGCCAGUUCCCACAGAUGGCUGGGCCCUCUCCUCUGCCCCGGGGAGGCAGCAGGCAGCCUACUGGUCAGCCAAGGGGUCCUCCCUGAACCUGUCUCCUCCUGCAGCCCUGGGCUCCCCACUUCCCUGUGUGUGUGCCUCUUACCUGACAGCCAGGCCUGGGGUGACACACAGUGUGCGCUUUUGUCUUGCAGGGCCAUGGGUGUCAUCUCCUACCUCAGGUGAGCAGAGCCCUGCCCCAUCAGCUGCCUCCUCCAAAGCUGACAUGAGACCCCUCCCUUGUAGGCCCACCGAGGGCAUGUGCACUGCUGGCUGCUCCCCAUAUCAGAAACCUGAGACCCAAGGGGCUACUAUCUUGGGAACAGGCGGUCAGCCAACCCUGAUAAGAGGUUCCUGCCCGGAGUGUCUCACAAACACCCUGUCAUCAGAGGGCUGUGCUGGGUCACGAGGCAGCCAAACCACUGCCCUGCAGGACUGGGGGUUGUCCAGCAGCC